rnacentral:rRNA from 1 species
GUUUAGACCCGUAGCAGAUAGCUCAGUAACACGUGGCCAAACUACCCUAUGGAUCCGGAUAACCUCGGGAAACUGAGGCUAAUCCGGAAUAGGAUUCUCAGGCUGGAACUGCCGAGAAUUCGAAACGCCCCGGCGCCAUAGGAUGUGGCUGCGGCCGAUUAGGUAGACGGUGGGGUAACGGCCCACCGUGCCAGUAAUCGGUACGGGUUGUGAGAGCAAGAGCCCGGAGACGGUAUCUGAGACAAGAUACCGGGCCCUACGGGGCGCAGCAGGCGCGAAACCUUUACACUGCACGCCAGUGCGAUAAGGGGACUCCAAGUGCGAGGGCAUAUAGUCCUCGCUUUUCUGUACCGUAAGGUGGUACAGGAAUAAGGGCUGGGCAAGACCGGUGCCAGCCGCCGCGGUAAUACCGGCAGCCCAAGUGAUGACCGCUAUUAUUGGGCCUAAAGCGUCCGUAGCUGGCCACGCAAGUCCAUCGGGAAAUCUGUCCGCUUAACGGGCAGGCGUCCGGUGGAAACUGCGUGGCUUGGGACCGGAAGACCUGAGGGGUACGUCCGGGGUGGAGUGAAAUCCCGUAAUCCUGGACGGACCACCGGUGGCGAAAGCGCCUCAGGAAGACGGAUCCGACGGUGAGGGACGAAAGCUCGGGUCACGAACCGGAUUAGAUACCCGGGUAGUCCGAGCUGUAAACGAUGUCUGCUAGGUGUGACACAGGCUACGAGCCUGUGUUGUGCCGUAGGGAAGCCGUGAAGCAGACCGCCUGGGAAGUACGUCCGCAAGGAUGAAACUUAAAGGAAUUGGCGGGGGAGCACUACAACCGGAGGAGCCUGCGGUUUAAUUGGACUCAACGCCGGACAUCUCACCAGCA